rnacentral:misc_RNA from 1 species
UCGUUGGUAGUUUACUACCAUUGAAGGGAAGUGGGAACUGCUUGGGCUUGCCCAGGUAGGAGUACACUUUCUUCUCUCCACCCUUGACUUUUUGCGCACUUCUGUUUCCUCGGCAGGCUCGCCUGCCGGCUGGACAAUUCAAACUCUUUCUUUAUCAAUCAGCGUCUGAAUUAUCAUAAUAAUUA